GGAUGGGUGGCCGAGCGGUCGAAGGCGCACGCCUGGAAAGUGUGUAUAUGGUUUUCCCAUAUCGUGGGUUCGAAUCCCACCCCAUCCGCCA
rnacentral:tRNA from 1 species